GCUAGCCAUUCAUUCAGAUCCUGGUAUUAGGCCAUGGUAUAAAGGUGCCUAGUAGGUCGGACUGUCUUCCUCUCUGUCUCUCGCUCGGUUUGUCCCUGGGUUUCACGCAGGAGCCAAUCGCCAGCUCUGCGUCUCCCUUACUCUGCCGUGGCUGUAUGGAACCUGACCUGUCUAGCAUUAGAUAACUCUCCCCUGCAGCUUAUGACGAUGGCACGGCGUGUGUUUUAAGCGUUCUUUAGGCCUACUGGCUAAUCAGUGACUGCAAGUGUUUGGCCUGUGGGUUAUCUUCGGCGGGGGGUAGCU